CCUACGGGAGGCAGCAGUGGGGGAUAUUGCACAAUGGGGGGAACCCUGAUGCAGCGACGCCGCGUGGGUGAAGGAGUGCUUCGGCAUGUAAAGCCCUAUCGGCAGGGAAGAAGCAAGACGGUACCUGACUAAGAAGCCCCGGCUAACUACGUGCCAGCAGCCGCGGUAAUACGUAGGGGGCGAGCGUUAUCCGGAUGCACUGGGUGUAAAGGGAGCGUAGACGGCCAUGCAAGCCAGGGGGGAAAGCCCGGGGCCCAACCCCGGGACUGCCCUUGGAACUGUGCGGCUAGAGUGCGGGAGGGGCAGGCGGAAUUCCUGGUGUAGCGGUGAAAUGCGUAGAUAUCAGGAGGAACACCGGCGGCGAAGGCGGCCUGCUGGACCGCGACUGACGUUGAGGCUCGAAAGCGUGGGGAGCGAACAGGAUUAGAUACCCCGGUAGUC
rnacentral:rRNA from 1 species